rnacentral:lncRNA from 1 species
UCCAAGUUUUCUGUUUUGGUACUCUUCUUGGCAUUUUAGGCUUACUGCGCAUCUGCUUCUCUGCCUGAAAAACCUGCAGUCCUCUGGAACUCCAGGCUCCACAGUGAAACGGGAUCGACCAGCAUUUACCAGUCAAGAGAUAUCAUGUACCAGUUCAUUGGACUCCCUCCAGGACAACUAACAAGGAGAUGAUGAUGGACAACUACCAUCCCAAGGAACAGAGAGAGUCUUCAACUGCAAGCAAGAUAGUCUCAUCCAUCUGCCCCAU